rnacentral:rRNA from 1 species
UUUUAAAUUGAGAGUUUGAUCCUGGCUCAGGACGAACGCUGGCGGCGUGCCUAACACAUGCAAGUCGAGCGAUGAAACUUCCUUCGGGAAGUGGAUUAGCGGCGGACGGGUGAGUAACACGUGGGUAACCUGCCUCAAAGAGUGGGAUAGCCUCCCGAAAGGGAGAUUAAUACCGCAUAACAUUAUUUUAUGGCAUCAUAAAAUAAUCAAAGGAGCAAUCCGCUUUGAGAUGGACCCGCGGCGCAUUAGCUAGUUGGUGAGGUAACGGCUCACCAAGGCAACGAUGCGUAGCCGACCUGAGAGGGGGAUCGGCCACAUUGGAACUGAGACACGGUCCAGACUCCUACGGGAGGCAGCAGUGGGGAAUAUUGCGCAAUGGGGGAAACCCUGACGCAGCAACGCCGCGUGAGUGAUGAAGGUUUUCGGAUCGUAAAACUCUGUCUUUAGGGACGAUAAUGACGGUACCUAAGGAGGAAGCCACGGCUAACUACGUGCCAGCAGCCGCGGUAAUACGUAGGUGGCAAGCGUUGUCCGGAUUUACUGGGCGUAAAGAG